rnacentral:lncRNA from 1 species
UUUACUUUACAGUCCGUGUCUUCUUCUUCUUGAGAGAAAGUAGCUUUUAACUUUAACUUUAUCUGUCACUUCAUUUAGAAUUUUGUCGUAGUAAGAAUCAUCUUCAUUUCUACGACAUUCAUCUUAAGGAGAUGUGAAGGAGAGCGUAAGAUACAACCAGUUGACUUUUGGAGGGAAUAACGUAUUUCUCAUAGAACGCUUUCCUCUUCAUAUUUCAUGUCUGAUGAUACUAUCAGCUGUCUGUAAUGAAAAACUUGAAGCAGAUGACGGGGAGAUGUUCGCGCAUGGCUCGGCGAUAACCGAAUUUGUUAAAGCUCGGACGAUAUACGUGCGGUUGCGCGUAUUUUCCUUCACGAAAAGUUUUCCCAUGCAUACUAAUGAUAUCUAUAAUGCAACUGUGUGAUACAUAUCAGGGAUAGCAAUCAGAAUUAUGUUGUAAAAAAUCGUAAUUGCAACGAGGAUAUUAUUAUUUUCCUAAUUUCCAAGGUAAUUUUCAUCUAACAAUCUCGUGGCAAUGCGCUAUUGAACAUAUCGAAAUGUUAAUGUUUUUUUUAUUUAAUCUGAUAUGUUGAAUGAAAAAAAGAAGUGAAUUGAAUGAUAAAAUAUUGAGCACAAACAUAUUCGCACAAUUGCACGCGCUCAAAUACAAUUUUGUAUUAAUUUUCUUUCAUUAAUUUUAACCCAUACAGCACAACAUCUUUCAGAAAGGUUUCUAAAAGAUAUCUGACAGAAGAUAUCUUUCCGAUAUCUUACAGAAAGCUUUCUGAAAGAUGUGUGCUGUGUGGGAAAUAAAUGUGCAUUGUUUCUAGAAUGUAAUUUCGUAAAAUUUUUGUACCUGUACUUUAUUAUACAUAACAUAAAAUUUUUUAAUCCAUAUUUGGAUAACAUUUAUUUUUUCUUUGGAAAACUCAAAUUAACUUUCUAAAUUAAAAAGAUAUAAGUUUAAAAUAUUACAACAAAUGUUAUUUGCUUUUUAACGUAUUAUUAUAUACUAUCUAAUCUAUUAGUAUUGCCGUUUCAUAGUCCAAUUAUAUAAAAUACAAGUAAUUGUAUUAAUCUAUUGUUUUGGAAUUAUCACAAGCCAUGUAUAUACCCAAGAACAAUAAGUUACAGAAACGUCAAAAUACGUCAAAAUAACAUAAAAAUAAAUCGUGCAUGAUUGAAAGAAGAUUUCUAAUUAUUUUAGUAUCUUUUUGGCGUCAUUUUAAUAUCAUGAAAAUUUUAUUAAAUAUGUGUAUGCAUGUGUGUUUUCACAUUUAUUAUAUACUUAAUAAUAUUAAAAAAUUUUCUGUAUUACAACCAUUCUGUAUUCUAUCAAAUCAUCAGAAUUUUAGAAACAUUUCUGUUGUAACAUUUUACAAAUUUUUUCAGAAUAUAAAAUGUGAAAGAUUAAUUCUUUUGAAAACUUUCUGUACUCGAUAUAUAUAUGGGUUUAUAUUAAUGUGAGCUAAAAUUUCUUACUUAAUGGUUUUUAUUAUAUCCCUUUUUGGAUUAGUUGAUUGUUUUGGGGUAUAUUAAAAAAAAUUAAAUUUGUUUUUUAACUUAAUAUUUCUUCGUGCAAAUAUAUAUAUAUAUAUAUAUAUAUAUUUAUAUAAAACAAAUAUUUUUAAAUAUAUAUAGCAUUUUUUCUUACAUAUCUUUUACCAGCAGAUUUUAUUUCUUGCAACUUUCAACCACGUAAAAAGAAUUAUGUAAAACGGAUACUUCGCAAGACUAUAGUGUAUACGUAUAUAUUAGAUACAUAUAUAAAUAAUAGUAUCAUAUUUCAUAUAAUUGCAAUCUUUACUCUUAAUGAAGUACAUUUUAAUGUUCUUAUAAUUCUAAUUUUCAAUCUUCUUAAUCUCAUGUUUAAAAAUUUUUCAACUAAAGUUUUAGCAUUAUUUCUGAAAAAAAAAAACUUUCUUGAUUGAUUGUCAAUCAUUUAUUUAAAAUAAAUCGAAACUUCAUUAACUUUGUCAACUUAACUGUUACCCGUAAUACUCGCUGGUAAUAACUGCUGUAAUAACAGCUCACGUUGUUACAAUAAGUAACGGUGCGUGAUGAGAUUUCAUCAGUACGAUCGAAGCUGCACCGUCGACGUCGGCGACGUUUGGUUUUAAGAGCGAAAUUAAAUCUGUAAAAUUUUCCAUUCUCCAGCGUUUUGCAAUGUACACAAAAUUUCAUUUCUCUUCUUUUUGCUUACCAUUCCCGGUACGUUAUAGAAAAUUGCAACUGCUCCGGAAAAUCUUGAAGCGAAAAGUUUUUUUCGUAAAAUUCAAUUAAAUUGCUAAAAUGUCAUCAGUUUAUUGACGAAGAAAAAGAAAGAAAGAAAAAAGAUGGAUAGAUAAAGAAUCAGAGAGAAAGAGAAAGAGAAUAUUAAUCGUUUAUAUAACGCUUUUGAUUUUGUCGAAUAUUCACCAAUAAUAUUCACCAGUGGACGAUAAGUACUUAGACGAGAAUAAAAGAAUGCUUUUCGAUUGAGGGGAAAAAGGCGAUUCGUUGAGUAAAAAUGCAAGAUCUCCGAUACAACGUUGGCCUUAACCUUCAUAAUUAGUCGUGUGAGUCAAGUAAAUGAUGUAAUGACGAGCUGUAGCUACAGUAAUAUAUCGACCUUUAGUUUGCAGAUGGUGCAUUCAGAAUCGAUUUUGACGGGUUACUUCGCCUUACAAGUCUAAUAAAGGACGCUUAAGUUCUACACAGACGACGAUAUUAAUAUUAAACAAAACAAUUAUAAGCAGAAAUGUUAUGACUUUCAUUAAAAGUCUUUCAACGUUUUCAUGAAACUUAACUGAAUGACAAUUUAAUUGACAAAUUAAUUUUUCACAAUUUUAAAGAUAAAAGUUUCCAAUAAAUCUCAAAUUACACAUUAAGUAUCUAAUAUUAAAGCAAUACAAAUUUUGAUUUUUUAAAAUAUUGUAUACAAAGAAUAGUAUAUUUGCAAGAGAAAAUGUAAAAAAAACAUUAUGCUUGUAUUACAAUAGCGAAAUAAUAUAUUAAGUCAAAAAAUGCGUUGAAUAUGCAUAACCAUUAUAAUACACUUUUUAAUUGACUGAAACUGCAGAAUAUAACUGUAAGAUAAUAUAUAAUUUAUAAUAUGCAAUUGAUGCGUAAAGAAAUAGAUAGAUGUAAGGGCAAACACUGUACGACGAAUGAGUUUUAAUUAGUAUAAUGCUCGCAACCUCGUGGCAAGUGUGCGAUAAGCUAUCUGCAAUAAGAACGACAAACACGUGCCGUCGUCACGUCGAGCACUUAACAUAUGGUUCUUACACGCGAUCUUAAGGUUUGCAUUAUGCGUACUCGAGAAAGUUGAUUUUUAUAUUUAUUAUAUUUUUCUUACUACAUGGAUUACACUGCAAUGCUCAUUCAAUCGUGCAAAGGAUCGAUCAUGUAACUUUAUAAAACUUUUUAUUUUUCGCUGUAUUUAUUCCGCAAAAACUUUUACUAUUCACGCGAUACUAAUAAUUUUCUUUAAUUUUCAUUUACUAAUCAUAUUUAGUGAUUUGUAUUUUUCCUGUACGAAGUUACAUGUGAUGAAUAAUAAAAUUGCGUACAUAAUAAAGAAAAGUUAAUAUGUGAAGAAGUUAAGUGAAAAAUGAAAAGUUCCACGAAGUUACAUGAUUGAUCUCCUAAUGUCAAAUAGACAGAGCUGAAAUAAA